AGUUGACCUCGGAUCAGGUAGGAAUACCCGCUGAACUUAAGCAUAAGGGGGGGGGGGAAAAAAAAA
rnacentral:rRNA from 1 species